AGAGUUUGAUCAUGGCUCAGGACGAACGCUGGCGGCGUGCUUAACACAUGCAAGUCGAACGGGGUCCAUCCCUUCGGGGAGAAGACCUAGUGGCGAACGGGUGAGUAACACGUGGGCAACCUACCUCGGAAACCGGGAUAACAGCCGGAAACGGCUGCUAAUACCGGAUAAGCCUGUAGGGUCGCAUGGCCUAGCAGGAAAACGGUCCGCCGUUCCGAGAUGGGCCCGCGGCUGAUUAGCUUGUUGGUGAGGUAACGGCCCACCAAGGCGACGAUCAGUAGCCGAGCUGAGAGGCUGACCGGCCACACUGGGACUGAGACACGGCCCAGACUCCUACGGGAGGCAGCAGUGGGGAAUCUUGCGCAAUGGGCGAAAGCCUGACGCAGCAACGCCGCGUGCGGGAUGAAGGCCUUCGGGUUGUAAACCGCUGUCAAGAGGGACGAAGCGAAAGUGACGGUACCUCUAGAGGAAGCCCCGGCUAACUACGUGCCAGCAGCCGCGGUAAUACGUAGGGGGCGAGCGUUGUCCGGAUUCAUUGGGCGUAAAGCGCGCGUAGGCGGCUUGUCAAGUCGGAUGUGAAAACCGGGGGCUUAACCCGCGGACUGCAUUCGAAACUGGCAGGCUGGAGUCCGGUAGAGGAAAGUGGAAUUCCUAGUGUAGCGGUGAAAUGCGCAGAUACUAGGAAGAACACCAGUGGCGAAGGCGGCUUUCUGGGCCGCGACUGACGCUGAGGCGCGAAAGCUAGGGGAGCGAACAGGAUUAGAUACCCUGGUAGUCCUAGCCGUAAACGAUGGGCACUAGGUGUAGGCGGUUAUCAACGCCGUCUGUGCCGUAGCUAACGCAUUAAGUGCCCCGCCUGGGGAGUACGGCCGCAAGGCUAAAACUCAAAGGAAUUGACGG
rnacentral:rRNA from 1 species